rnacentral:rRNA from 1 species
GAUGAACGCUGGCGGCGUGCUUAACACAUGCAAGUCGAACGGUGAACACGGAGCUUGCUCUGUGGGAUCAGUGGCGAACGGGUGAGUAACACGUGAGCAACCUGCCCCUGACUCUGGGAUAAGCGCUGGAAACGGCGUCUAAUACUGGAUAUGUGACGUGACCGCAUGGUCUGCGUUUGGAAAGAUUUUUCGGUUGGGGAUGGGCUCGCGGCCUAUCAGCUUGUUGGUGAGGUAAUGGCUCACCAAGGCGUCGACGGGUAGCCGGCCUGAGAGGGUGACCGGCCACACUGGGACUGAGACACGGUCCAGACUCCUACGGGAGGCAGCAGUGGGGAAUAUUGCACAAUGGGCGCAAGCCUGAUGCAGCAACGCCGCGUGAGGGAUGACGGCCUUCGGGUUGUAAACCUCUUUUAGCAGGGAAGAAGCGAAAGUGACGGUACCUGCAGAAAAAGCGCCGGCUAACUACGUG